CCUACGGGAGGCAGCAGUGGGGAAUAUUGCGCAAUGGGGGAAACCCUGACGCAGCAACGCCGCGUGAGUGAGGAAGGACUUCGGUCUGUAAAGCUCUGUUAAUGAGGAAAAAUGGUAGUUGGUCUAAUAGGCCGAUUAUUUGAUGGUACUCAUAGAGGAAGCACCGGCUAACUUCGUGCCAGCAGCCGCGGUAAUACGAAGGGUGCAAGCGUUGUUCGGAUUUAUUGGGCGUAAAGCGCGCGUAGGCGGACCUGCAAGUAAGAUGUGAAAUCUCGAGGCUCAACCUCGAAACUGCGUCUUAAACUACAGGUCUAGAAUCUCGGAGGGGGAAGGGAAUUUCGCAUGUAGGGGUAAAAUCCGUAGAUAUGCGAAGGAACACCAGAGGCGAAGGCGCCUUCCUGGACGAGUAUUGACGCUGAGGCGCGAAAGCGUGGGGAUCAAACAGGAUUAGAUACCCUGGUAGUCCACGCUGUAAACGAUGAACACUAGGUAUUGGAGGAUUUGACCCCUUCAGUGCCGUAGCUAACGCGUUAAGUGUUCCGCCUGGGAAGUACGGUCGCAAGACUAAAACNCAAAGGAUUGACGGCUGAGAGNGCGAGACGACGACGAGGGAGAGG
rnacentral:rRNA from 1 species